UCAUUUUUGUACUGGCUUACCCACAGUUCAUAUCAAUUUUUCUCUACUCGUUUUACUCCAAAAUAAAAUCCGAAAUUUUACGCUGUGAUAAUUUUUACAAAAACCGAUAUUAUUUUGUGAAAUAUUUUCCAAGCUUUGAAAAUAAUCAUACCAUGGAUCCUCCUGGCUUUGCGGGGCUAUCGAUGCAUUGAUGCGCAGCUCCUACCAGGAAAACUAGCAAGACUGCGGACUAUCCUCCGCGUCCGUGAGCCCAUCGUGGGUGAUCGCCUGGUUCUGCGAGUUGGAUCUGUCGAUGGGUUCCAUGGACUGUGGCUGUUCCCGUUGCUGCCGAGGGGCUCCUGUCCGUUGUUGAUUCUCGAGUGGUGCGUUCGGCGAGUGACCAUUCGCGCCGUUACAAAUUGACUUGCGUUGAGACCUCCAAGGGCACGCGUUUACGAUGCCAGCAGAAGUAUACUAUCUUUGAACACUGUUGGGAUAUUGGAUCCUUGCUUUCCUUGUCGAUGUGCAACUCUACAAUCUCGUUUGGACAGAAGUCCGUUGGGAUCCUCACAGCGAUCCACAGUGCGAUUAACGACACCCCACCUAUCAGUCACCAAUUCCGGGUUCUGCUUUUCCAUCAGUGCAAAAAUGCAAAAUGACAAAGCAGAACCCGGAUCUAGUGACAGACAGGUGGAGUGUCGUUAAUGGCCCUGUGGAUCCCUGUGAGGAUCCCAACGGACUUCUGUUCAAACAUCGAAGAAGAUCGAAGAAUGUGAUGAAGGGCAGAACAGAACAACAGAAUGGCGAAACGCGCUAGACUAGCGGGUUUUGUCAAUUUCUAUUGUAUUGGGACGAAUGAAUAAAUUUUAGAUAGUGU